UCUUGCUUUUGAUGCGGCAAAGAAAGGAAGGAAAGGAAAGGAAAGGAUUCAAAGAAGAUGAGACAUAUAGUGGAGACGACGACAUCAUGGAGGACUCGAGCUUCUUCAUGCAGUGGGCUAUGGACACGCUGCACCAGCUCCCCUCCGACGCCGCCGCUCCAGCCUACGCUACUGACGGCGGCGACGGCGCUUCCUUCCCGUCGCUCCAAGCGCUCCGCAACGGCGCCUCGGCCUCGCAUGGGACGGCCGGCUUCCGGGACCUCACAGUGCAGGUGGACAACGUCCACCGGGCCAACAGCUGGAGCUCCAGCGACAGCCCCGGCGGCGCCGCCACGGCCGCCGGCUGGUCUCCCCACCUCACCGGCGGAAGCAGCAGCGCUAGGGGCAGCAGGCCGAUGAGCUGGAACUUCAGCGCCGCGUCUGCGCAGCCGACGACCGACGAUAGCGCCGGCGGCGGCGGUGGCGGCGUUCCCGCUCCACCGCUGGAGCCAGCGAGAGCAGCGGGGAAGAAAGGAGGCGGCGGCAGCUCAUCGGGGCACGCCGCGGCGGCGCCGGGAUACGUGCAGGACCACAUCAUCGCGGAGAGGCGGCGGAGGGAGAAGAUCAACCAGCGGUUCAUCGAGCUCUCCACCGUCAUCCCCGGCCUCAAAAAGAUGGACAAGGCGACCAUCCUCGGGGACGCGGUGAAGUACGUCAAGGAGCUUCAGGAGAAGGUCAAAUCGAUGGAGGACGGCGGCGGCGGCGGCCGGUCGGCCAUGGUCGUGAGGAAGCAGUGCCGCCAGCAGCAGCUGCAGUCGUCGGACGGCGGCACGUCGCGGCUGCCGGAGAUCGAGGCGCGGCUGUCGGAGAAGAGCGUGCUGCUGCGGAUCCACUGCGGCAACGCUCGAGGAAUGCUGGUGAGGUUGCUGUCGGAGGUGGAGGAGCUCCGGCUCGCCAUCACCCACACCAGCGUCAUGCCCUUCCCGGCCUCCACCGUCAUCAUCACCAUUACUGCCAAGGUGUACUUUGUUCAGGGUGUACUGAUCCAUUCAUGGGAUUGAAAAAAAUUCUAAAGAAAAUCAUUGAGGGGUGGAGAAAGUUGAUCCAGUUCAUCCUAAAUGGAUCAAAUAGAAUAAAUAAAUAUGAUUGAAGACUUGUGGGUUCCCUGCAUGUAUACUUCAUGCAUUUAAAAGUAUUUAUAUAACUUGAAAGACAAUUUCUUCUAACUAAGGGCCACAAUAUAUAUGUAGCAUGACAAGUGAGUGUAAUUUUGGACUCAAACAUGUGCAUUAUAUAGGAGAGGGAGCAAGGCAUGAAUAUAGCAUGUGAUUUUUUAUCUACAAUAUAAAAUAUGGGUUUAUAUAAAAAUUUAGUUUUUAUUAUACUGGUGGUUGAGUCGUUCAGCGGAUUGUGAAAAUUGCUGACAGGUGGAAGAGGGAUUCAAUUCCACAGUGGAAGAGAUCGUGAGGAGGCUUGACUCAGCACUCCUGCACCAAUACAAUAAUACUAAUAG